CUCCUACGGGGGGCAGCAGUGGGGAAUAUUGGGCAAUGGGCGCAAGCCUGACCCAGCAACGCCGCGUGAAGGAAGAAGGCUUUCGGGUUGUAAACUUCUUUUCUUGGGGACGAAGAAAGUGACGGUACCCAAGGAAUAAGCCACGGCUAACUACGUGCCAGCAGCCGCGGUAAUACGUAGGUGGCAAGCGUUAUCCGGAUUUAUUGGGUUUAAAGGGUGCGUAGGCGGAAUAUCAAGUCAGCGGUAAAAAUUCGGGGUCCAACCCCGUCGUGCCGUGGAAACUGAUGUUCUUGAGUGGGCGAGAA
rnacentral:rRNA from 1 species